GACGAACGCUGGCGGCGUGCUUAACACAUGCUAGCCGAACGGAAAGGCCCUGCUUUUGUGGGGUGCUCGAGUGGCGAACGGGUGAGUAACACGUGAGUAACCUGCCCUUGACUUUGGGAUAACUUCAGGAAACUGGGGCUAAUACCGGAUAGGAGCUCCUGCUGCAUGGUGGGGGUUGGAAAGUUUCGGCGGUUGGGGAUGGACUCGCGGCUUAUCAGCUUGUUGGUGGGGUAGUGGCUUACCAAGGCUUUGACGGGUAGCCGGCCUGAGAGGGUGACCGGCCACAUUGGGACUGAGAUACGGCCCAGACUCCUACGGGAGGCAGCAGUGGGGAAUAUUGCACAAUGGGCGGAAGCCUGAUGCAGCAACGCCGCGUGCGGGAUGACGGCCUUCGGGUUGUAAACCGCUUUCGCCUGUGACGAAGCGUGAGUGACGGUAAUGGGUAAAGAAGCACCGGCUAACUACGUGCCAGCAGCCGCGGUGAUACGUAGGGUGCGAGCGUUGUCCGGAUUUAUUGGGCGUAAAGGGCUCGUAGGUGGUUGAUCGCGUCGGAAGUGUAAUCUUGGGGCUUAACCCUGAGCGUGCUUUCGAUACGGGUUGACUUGAGGAAGGUAGGGGAGAAUGGAAUUCCUGGUGGAGCGGUGGAAUGCGCAGAUAUCAGGAGGAACACCAGUGGCGAAGGCGGUUCUCUGGGCCUUUCCUGACGCUGAGGAGCGAAAGCGUGGGGAGCGAACAGGCUUAGAUACCCUGGUAGUCCACGCUGUAAACGGUGGGUACUAGGUGUGGGGUCCAUUCCACGGGUUCCGUGCCGUAGCUAACGCUUUAAGUACCCCGCCUGGGGAGUACGGCCGCAAGGCUAAAACUCAAAGGAAUUGACGGGGCCCCGCACAAGCGGCGGAGCAUGCGGAUUAAUUCGAUGCAACGCGUAGAACCUUACCUGGGUUUGACAUGGAUCGGGAGUGCUCAGAGAUGGGUGUGCCUCUUUUGGGGUCGGUUCACAGGUGGUGCAUGGCUGUCGUCAGCUCGUGUCGUGAGAUGUUGGGUUAAGUCCCGCAACGAGCGCAACCCUUGUUCACUGUUGCCAGCACGUUAUGGUGGGGACUCAGUGGAGACCGCCGGGGUCAACUCGGAGGAAGGUGGGGAUGACGUCAAGUCAUCAUGCCCCUUAUGUCCAGGGCUUCACGCAUGCUACAAUGGCUGGUACAGAGAGUGGCGAGCCUGUGAGGGUGAGCGAAUCUCGGAAAGCCGGUCUCAGUUCGGAUUGGGGUCUGCAACUCGACCUCAUGAAGUCGGAGUCGCUAGUAAUCGCAGAUCAGCAACGCUGCGGUGAAUACAUUCCCGGG
rnacentral:rRNA from 1 species